AAAUUGAAGAGUUUGAUCAUGGCUCAGAUUGAACGCUGGCGGCAGGCCUAACACAUGCAAGUCGAACGGUAACAGGAAACAGCUUGCUGUUUCGCUGACGAGUGGCGGACGGGUGAGUAAUGUCUGGGAAACUGCCUGAUGGAGGGGGAUAACUACUGGAAACGGUAGCUAAUACCGCAUAACGUCGCAAGACCAAAGAGGGGGACCUUCGGGCCUCUUGCCAUCGGAUGUGCCCAGAUGGGAUUAGCUUGUUGGUGGGGUAACGGCUCACC
rnacentral:rRNA from 2 species